UCGCAUUCCGUUUCUAUCCGAUCCGUUUAUAUCAGUUUAUUUUGUCGAAAUUGUCACGAACUGUUUUCCGUAUUAACUUUUGGCGCUAUAUUUUAGCUUCGCACAUUUUCCUAUGUUCCAAGGCAUUCUGUCUUUCUACUCUUGCCAAAACUUACAGUCAUUACCAGUCUUUUACGAUAUUAAAUCGUUAUCUAUCUG